rnacentral:misc_RNA from 1 species
GUAUUAAUUGCGUGUGAUCGCAAAAGAAAAACAUUCUACACUGUAUCGAGUUUGUGUGAAAACGUGAGCCCCCGAAAGGGGACCCACGCGGUGGUGCACAGGGUGAGAUGGAUUGUUUGAAAAUGCUCGGGCGUGCACGACCAAAAGUCAGCGACAGCCCUUGCACCUCAGUUUUACAAUAAUGAUCCUUCCGCAGGUUCACCUACGGAAA